rnacentral:rRNA from 1 species
UACGGGGGGGGCAAGCGUUGUUCGGAAUUACUGGGCGUAAAGGGCUCGUAGGUGGCCAACUAAGUCAGACGUGAAAUCCCUCGGCUUAACCGGGGAACUGCGUCUGAUACUGGAUGGCUUGAGUUCGGGAGAGGGAUGCGGAAUUCCAGGUGUAGCGGUGAAAUGCGUAGAUAUCUGGAGGAACACCGGUGGCGAAGGCGGCUCUCUGGGACGGUACUGACGCUGAGACGCGAAAGCGUGGGGAGCGAACGAGG